GACGAACGCUGGCGGCGUGCCUAAUACAUGCAAGUAGAACGCACAGGAUGCACCGUAGUUUACUACACCGUAUUCUGUGAGUUGCGAACGGGUGAGUAACGCGUAGGUAACCUGCCUGGUAGCGGGGGAUAACUAUUGGAAACGAUAGCUAAUACCGUAUAAGAACAUUUACUGCAUGGUAGAUGUUUAAAAGGUGCAAGAGCAUCACUACCAGAUGGACCUGCGUUGUAUUAGCUAGUUGGUGAGGUAACGGCUCACCAAGGCAACGAUACAUAGCCGACCUGAGAGGGUGAUCGGCCACACUGGGACUGAGACACGGCCCAGACUCCUACGGGAGGCAGCAGUAGGGAAUCUUCGGCAAUGGGGGGAACCCUGACCGAGCAACGCCGCGUGAGUGAAGAAGGUUUUCGGAUCGUAAAGCUCUGUUGUUAAGGAAGAACGUGUGUGAGAGUGGAAAGUUC
rnacentral:rRNA from 1 species